GCAUAGCUCAGUCAGUAAAGCAUGAGACUCUUAAUGUCAGGGUCGUGGGUUUGAGCCCCAUGUUGGGCA